UUUUUCUUUUCAUCCACAGUGUCUACAUUAGCAUCUGUUUCGACAAUUACAACCAGACAACCUACAAGAACUACUAGUAAAAAUACAGUGAUUAGGGAAACAUCUCAGGUUGAAGAGUCGAUUACAGUUACAGUUAAAUCAGUGACCACAAACAGAGCAGCAGUGUCUGAUCUUUGGGUUUAUGUCGGUUUUGGUCUUGGCACCUUUGUGUUGAUUUUUAUUGUCGUCCUCUUCGUAUUAAUUAAACACAAGUAUGAGCAGAAGAUGUCCUCCACCACCACAUCAUCAUCAUCAGCUCUUCAUCCUGAUCUUCUCAGUUACGCCACAGUGAACUUUACUGCUCGAUCAGAAAGUCUGAUCUACUCUACUGUUUUCUUUAUCAAAGAUCCUCUUAGGAACAGUGAAAAAAAGUUUUCAGCAGACCCAAAUCAACGAGCCGCAACACUUUAUUCAUCUGUUCAGUCAAAUGAAAUCAUCCAAACCAAAUGAUCCACUUCACUGUGUUUAUAAAUUACAAUUUCAUUUAUAAUAUAAGUAAAUUUGU